AGACUGUUUUGGACAACAUUCAUAAUUUCCGGAUAGUAGUGAUAUGUGGCCCUUUCAUCUGCGAUCUUGGAUUAAUUGUGAUUUUUGGAACCUAAGCAAAGUAACAAGGAGUGAAGUGAAAGAAUCUCAAAGUGUUGGUUCAUGUCAACUGUUAACACCUUUCAGUCUGAUGACUUCCGGUCUGACUAGAGCUUGCUAAAAUGCAAGACCAGAGUGGCCAAACUCAAGUCAUGCAGCAGCAACCGCAGCAACAACAAAUGCAACAGCAAUCACAAAUGCAACAGCAGCAGCAACAGCAAAAUCAACAAAUGCAGCAGCAAGCCAUGCAAGUACAGCAGCAGGCCCAACAAAACUCCAUGCAGCAGCAGAUGCAGUCCCCAAUGCAGCAGCAGCCUCAGCAGCAAAUGCAGCAACAACUGCAGCAACAACAGAUGCAACAGCAACCGCAGCAGAUGCAGCAACAACAACAGUUGCAGCAGCAGCAGCUACAGCAGCAGCCGCAGCAAAUGCAGCAACAGCAACAGCUCCAGCCUCAACAACAAUUACAGCAGCAGCAGCUUCAGCAGCAACAACAGCAGCUUCAGCAGCAACAGCCGCUGCAAAUCCAGGGCCAACAGCUACAAGGGCCUCUGGGUCAAUGCCGGUCCAAGUCCAAGUGAUUCAGCAGCAACCACUGCAGAAUGCAGCAUACCUACCACAGUUCUAUAACCCACAAAAUGGUCAGAUCAUAAUGCCGUCAAAUUUGGGGGUCAAUCCAGGUGGCGCAAUUCAGGUCGUCGCAAAUAAAUCAGCCUCUUUUCCUGGUUACACCACUAUUCCUACAACUACCAAUCAAACCCUAGUCAUCAGUCAACUCGGAGUCAUUCCAUCACAACAAAAUAUUUUACCCGCUCACUCUACUGCUGGACAACAGAAACCCGAGAUGCAAAAGGUUCAGAAUGCGCAACCUGUGCAGUUCUCAUCUUGGAAUUUUGGCAGUUUACCCCAAAGCAUAGCGUGGACUACAACCCCGCAGCAACCUACUCUUUUGACCACUCAAAAUGCUAAUUUCAUCAGAGGUGCAAAUCCACCAGAGAAUAUUCAGCCAAAAACUAGUAUGGUUUCAUCUGUUGGAAGGCCUCUGUCAAACAUACUGCCUAGCUCAGCCAUUCGCCCUGCAAGUUCAGUAUCAACACAAACUGCUGGACAGCAGAUGACAGCAACCAUGGCACAAAAACAACAGGUAUACACAUAAUGGAGAAUUUGCAUGCAAAUUUUUUAUUGCUUCAUCUGAAAGUGCUUAAAGAGCUGAUUUCUCAGUAUGUUCUAUAAUUUUUUUCUGAUACAGAAAAUUGUAUAAAAAUAGAUUUAAAAGUGAGAAAAUGCACUGCCGACGUCA
rnacentral:lncRNA from 1 species